CAAGCUUCAUUGCUCGAAACCAUAGUGAUUGAUGACUUCUCUUAGUAGUUCAAUGCUACCAUUUUUGUUGAUUCUUCUAUUUCCAUUCUCAUGGGGGACAUCAGCUCACACUCAUGAGGAUUUUCUUCAAUGUCUUUCCCUUUAUUCGGAAGACUCCGCAGCCACUUCUAAGGUCAUUUACACCCCGAACAACACUUCAUAUGCCACUGUUUUGCAGUUCUCGAUACGAAAUCUUAGGUUCAAUUCUUCAAAAUUAACUCCUGUAGUCAUUGUUACACCAACUAUCUUGUCACAUAUUCAGGCUACCAUUCAUUGUUCCCAGAAACACAAUUUACAGAUUAGGAUUCGAAGUGGUGGGCAUGAUUAUGAGGGCCUUUCUUAUAUGUCUGUCCUGCCGUUUGUCAUCCUUGAUCUGAUCAAUCUACGUAAGAUUACCGUUGAUUUGUCGACUAAGACUGCGUGGGUUCAGGCUGGUGCAACUCUAGGUGAACUUUACUAUAGCAUUGCCGAGAAAAGUAGAACUCUUGCUUUCCCUGCAGGUGCUUGUCAUACUGUUGGUGUUGGAGGGCAGUUUAGUGGAGGAGGGUAUGGAGGGUUGCUGCGUAAAUAUGGUCUUGCUGCAGAUAACGUAAUUGAUGCAGAAUUAAUUGAUGCUAAUGGUAGAGUUCUUGAUAGAGAAUCGAUGGGGGAAGAUUUGUUUUGGGCCAUUCGAGGCGGUGGAGGAAAUAGCUUCGGAGUCGUUACAGCAUGGAAAGUAAACUUGGUUGAAGUUCCGCCUACAGUGACCGUCUUUGCUGUCCCAAAAGUCUUGAAAGAAAAUGCAACCAAGCUUAUCCAUCGUUGGCAAUACGUUGCAAAUAAGCUUCCUGAAGAUAUCGUCAUUGCAGCAUAUGUAAACAGAAUUAAUUCUAGUCAAGGAGGAAAUCCAACAAUACAAGCAACAUUCACUUCUUUAUUUCUUGGUGGGGUUGAUAGACUUCUUCCACUGAUGCAAGAGAGCUUCCCUGAGCUUGGUCUUGUAAAAGACGAUUGCAUUGAACUGAGCUGGAUUGAGUUUGCCCUCUUCCUCGCUGGAUUUCCAAGUAACGCAUCCUUGGAUGUGUUGCUUGAUAGGACUCCUCAAUCCACAACAAGUUUCAAAGCAAAAUCUGACUAUGUUAAACAACCCCUGCCUGAAACCGCAUUAGAAGGGAUGUGGGAAACGUUCUUCGAAAAGGACAUUGAGUCCCCUAGUUUGUUCAUGGUUCCUUAUGGGGGAAAGAUGGAAGAGAUUUCUGAGUCAAGCAUCCCAUUUCCACAUAGAGCUGGAAAUUUAUACAAAAUUCACUACUAUGUGGCUUGGACAGAAGAAGGCAAGGAAGCAUCCGAAAGGCAUAUUUCUUGGAUCAGAAGGCUUUACAGUUACAUGACUCCUUAUGUUUCGAAAAAUCCUCGAGAAGCAUACGUCAAUUACAGAGACCUUGACCUCGGAAUAAAUAACCUUGCAGGCAACACAAGUUAUAAGCAAGCAAGCAUUUGGGGUAGGAAGUACUUCAAAAAUAACUUUGACAAGCUGGUACGCAUAAAGACUGAAGUUGAUCCUGCCAAUUUCUUCAGAAAUGAGCAGAGCAUACCACCUUUCUCAUCUUGGUGAUUAAAGGCAUAAGAAGAGAAAGUUAAUGGUAAUACAUUAUUAUAUAUUUCAUCUGGAGAGACAUCAAUAAAGUUAUCCGUUUUAAGAUCAAUUUUUCUACUGAGAUACUUUUGAAGGUGUCCAAGAAAUAUGUGAGAUUUCAUUCAAAUUCAAUAAUAUGCUGUCAUUUCAGUGUUUCUAAGAUUGAAGGUUGAACAGUUGGGAUCAAUGUGGAGAGUUUCAAUUUUUCUAUAUUCAAAAGCUUGAACUUUGACUAAUAAGAAAUUGUGUGGAAAAGUAGGCGAUAAUAGCGAAGAUAAAGAUGGUACUGCAAUUAUGAUUUUACUUGAGAAUUUCCUCUUACGUACUAAGAUGCAAAAAACAUGUUACUUUUUUUUCCCUCUCUCUCUGAUGUAAUAAUAUUAAUGCCGAACAACAAACAACCUGUUAAUUAAUGGAGAACAAAAGUCACACCCCACCCACUUCUUGUCCAGCUAGAAGUGGAAGAAAUGAUGGCACCUAUCUCACUUACUGUCCAGCUGCAAGUGAAAGAACCGAUGAUCACCAAGAGAUGAGAUGUAGUAAGGUGGCAUGUGUUGGAAUGAGCUGGAUCUAUUCCAACUUGCUGCGGAAACACAGCACAACAUGUGUGAAAAAAACACUAGGGAGCUAAACACCAGAAGAAAGAGAGAGAGUGUUGUGAGUGUGAGAGUUUGAGUUGAGUUGAGAAGAGAGUUUCUCCUCCUCCUUGUAAUAUGUAUGGUUUCUCUAGUUAAUGAAAAUAGCAGCUCCAAAUUGCCGAACCUAAAUCUUGCGGGCCUCCAUUUUUUAUCCUAACAACCGGUAUCAAAGCAAGGUUCAUGAGUGUUCUUGAUUUUCCCCCAGAAAUCAAAGUGUUCCAAACUUUGAUUUGAAUAUAGCACUGGAUACUACUCGUUUUGAGGAUUCAAACAACGCAAAAAUCAAGCAUAUCGGAGCUAAAACGAAGCCACACGGUCUGAUCAAAGUUUGCCAGGAAAAGUCAACAAACUUGUGAAGAAGAAAGAGCCCGACCCGCCACGUCAUCCGGGUUACUCUGGCCAGGUAAGCUAACACGUAAGCAUCUUCAUCCCAGCAAGCGUCCACACACAGGACGCAUCUUCAAAACACUCCACUUGCCACACCAGCGACUGAACCUCCGCUUGCCACGUCAUCACAGGGUGUGAUCCUGCGCAAGCAGCUCUACCGGCACCCGCCUCUGUUGCUUGAUCAGAACCAUUAAUUUGACCAGAUCUUGCAUAGUCAGAUUUAAGCCUUCCGGACUCGGAAUCUUGUGAUUUCUGAGUCGAUCCCAACAGACUUGAUCAUUGCUGACACAACCACAGAGUCUGAUUUUGAAGAUUCACACUUGAAGUUUGGGAAAAAAAUGGUGGAGGAAAUAAAGUUGCUGGAAUUGAAAAAAUUGAUGGAAGAGAUUUUGUAUACCGGAGAAUGCAAAUUGAAGAUUAUCUCCACGGAAAGAAACUUCACCUUGCUUUGCUAGGAAGAAAGCUAGAAAAUAUGGAUAAAGAAGUGUUGCUACCCAAUUUUUGACCCAUGUUUUGAUAAAUUUUCAGAAAAAUUCAAAAAUAGCGAAAAACAUUGAAAAUCCAAAAAAAAUACGUUUUUAAUACAUUUGCAUUGUUUUUUAGCAUUUUUAGCAUCGUCUCAAAAGAAUUUAAAUUUUCAAAGAUAUUUGGAACGCGUUCAACUUUUCACGCGUCAUUUUUAAAAUCAUUGAUUUCCCGCAUUGAGUCGAUGUUGAUAUUUGCUCGCUUUCAAAAAUACAAAAAAAAAUAAGAAAAAUCAAAAUUUACAAAAAAGAGGAAAAGAGAAGGAAAGGAAAAGUUGAGGGACUAGUUUGAAAACCUAGCAAAACUUUUCCUAUAAAUACCAAGCUACACUGGUUUUUAAAGGGGGGGCAAUUUUGACAAUAUCAGGAAAAAAUACAAAAAAUAUCUAACCCUAAACCCAUCUUUUUCUCUAGAGCCGCCGCCCCCCCGGUUGAGAAUUUUCUUCCCCUUUCACAGCCGCUGCACCACUCCAACCGGCGCUCCAUUUCCUUUCAUUUUCCAGUCGGUUCCCCCAUUUUCUUCUCCUUGGCCAGCCAACAACAAAAAAGCCCAUUCAUUUUUCCAGCAGCGGCUCCCACUCCAUUUUCCUUCACACAAGCCGCUGCUCCCCUUUCCCCAAGUUUUCCCUUCGGUUUCUUCUUCCCUCUCUGCCAUAGUCCAGCCCCCCACAGAGCCUCUCCAUCUCACUGUUUUCUCCUCCACCGGAGCCGCCACCCCCCCUCUUGAUUAGAUUUUUCUCUUCUUCUCGCCAGCCUAGAGCUUGGCUCUUUGGACUGCACACAAAGCCAAGCGGCCCAUUCCUUCUCCCAGCCGGCCACAGAUAACCAUCUCCCUGUGGCCUCCCUCACUUUGCCAAAACCAAGGAGAAGCCGCCCCCCAAACUGCAGAAAGAAACAAAUCGGAGAGCACCUCCUCGUCUCUGCUCUCUAUCCAAGCCAGACAGCGGCGGUCCUUCCCUUCUCUGAGACAAAGAAACCAGCGACCCUCUCUCGGCCACCGACUCCAGACCACAUCCUUCCCUCAGCCGGCUCUCUCCCAAACAGCCACAACUGGAACCGGGGAGCCAAAGGGAGGCCGCCGCGCCUAUUUAUUUUGCUGUCUUCUCCUCCGCCCGACAGACCCGAGUCCUGCUUUCUUCUUCCCCAGCCGCCUCUGUUUUUUGGCCAAAACCUGAGUGAGCCAAAGUCAUCGCCAGCCACUGAAGUGGAGGAGAAGAAGAAGCCCUCCCAGCCACCAGAUCGGCCAUCGUCAGAAGAAACGUCGACAGAGAAGGGAGAAGGCGGAGCAGCUGGACAGAUCUAAAAAACAAAAUAAAAUCGACUGCUUGGGUGUUUUCUCUUGUUGCAGGUCACGGUGAAAGCCACCACGGGCAGGGAAGAGAAGCAGAGGAGAAGAAGGUGAAACCCAUAACAGCUGACCCGAGGCAGAUCUAAAAAGGGGAGAACCGGAACUGUUUGUGUUGUUGGUUUGCUUUACAGGUGACUGGGAGGUGCACCGCCGGACGGACAGAGAAGAGGAGAAGGAGACGAUCCCGAUCCCGAUCCCGAUCUACCAGCUUGCUGGUCUUCACCGGCGGCGGCGCGUGGGAAGACGCGCCGCCACUGUUCCAGCACUGUUGCUGCGAUUCCAGAAGUGGUUCCUUUGCAAUUCCCGGAGUUUUGGGGACUGUUUUGUAAAUUUUGGAUUAUGUAAUUUUAUUUUUGUUUAGUGUUUAAUUUUUUUAUAAUUUUGUAAUGUGAUGUACAAAAAGAACAAAAAAAAGAAAAGAAAAGAAAGAGAAUAAUAAUAGAAAAAAGAGAUGUGUGUGUUUGUUA